UUCGCCCUUAGAGUUUGAUCCUGGCUCAGGAUGAACGCUGGCGGCGUGCUUAACACAUGCAAGUCGAACGGAGUAAGAAAGCUUGCUUUUUUACUUAGUGGCGGACGGGUGAGUAACGCGUGAGCAAUCUGCCCAUACCAGGGGAAUAACACAUAGAAAUGUGUGCUAAUACCGCAUAAGACCACAGAGAGGCAUCUCUCAGUGGUAAAAGAUUUAUCGGGUAUGGAUGAGCUCGCGUCCCAUUUAGAUAGUUGGUGAGGUAACGGCCCACCAAGUCUGCGAUGGGUAGCCGACCUGAGAGGGUGAUCGGCCACAUUGGAACUGAGAAACGGUCCAGACUCCUACGGGAGGCAGCAGUGGGGAAUAUUGGGCAAUGGAGGCAACUCUGACCCAGCAACGCCGCGUGAGUGAUGAAGGUCUUCGGAUUGUAAAGCUCUGUGAUGGGAGACGAAGAAAGUGACGGUAUCCCAAUAGCAAGCCUCGGCUAACUACGUGCCAGCAGCCGCGGUAAUACGUAGGAGGCAAGCGUUAUCCGGAAUGACUGGGCGUAAAGGGUGCGUAGGUGGCUUGGCAAGUUGGUAGCGUAAUUCCGAGGCUCAACCUCGGCGCUACUACCAAAACUGUCAGGCUCGAGUGCAGGAGGGGUAAGUGGAAUUCCUAGUGUAGCGGUGGAAUGCGUAGAUAUUAGGAGGAACAUCGGUGGCGAAGGCGACUUACUGGACUGUAACUGACACUGAAGCACGAAAGCGUGGGGAGCAAACAGGAUUAGAUACCCUGGUAGUCCACGCCGUAAACGAUGUAUGCUAGGUGUAGGGGGUAUCGACUCCCUCUGUGCCGACGUUAACACAUUAAGCAUACCGCCUGGGGAGUACGGCCGCAAGGUUGAAACUCAAAGAAAUUGACGGGGACCCGCACAAGCAGCGGAGCAUGUGGUUUAAUUCGACGCAACGCGAAAAACCUUACCAGGACUUGACAUCGAGUGAAAGCCUAAGAGAUUAGGCCCUCCUUCGGGACACGAAGACAGGUGUUGCAUGGUUGUCGUCAGCUCGUGUCGUGAGAUGUUGGGUUAAGUCCCGCAACGAGCGCAACCCUCAUAUACAGUUGCCAAUAUUCAGUUAGGAACUCUGUAUAGACUGCCGUGGUUAACACGGAGGAAGGUGGGGAUGACGUCAAAUCAUCACGGCCCUUACGUCCUGGGCUACACACGUGCUACAAUGGCUAUUACAAAGAGCUGCUAUACAGUAAUGUUGAGCGAAUCUCAUAAAGAUAGUCUCAGUUCGGAUCGUGGGCUGCAACCCGCCCACGUGAAGUCGGAGUUGCUAGUAAUCCCGGAUCAGCAUGUCGGGGUGAAUACGUUCCCGGGUCUUGUACUCACCGCCCGUCA
rnacentral:rRNA from 1 species